AUUGAACGCUGGCGGCAUGCUUUACACAUGCAAGUCGAACGGUAACAGGCCUUCGGGUGCUGACGAGUGGCGAACGGGUGAGUAAUGCAUCGGAACGUGCCCAGAGGUGGGGGAUAACGCAGCGAAAGCUGUGCUAAUACCGCAUGUGAUCUGAGGAUGAAAGCGGGGGACCAGGCAGCAAUGUUUGGCCUCGCGCCUUUGGAGCGGCCGAUGUCAGAUUAGGUAGUUGGUGGGGUAAAGGCCUACCAAGCCGACGAUCUGUAGCUGGUCUGAGAGGACGACCAGCCACACUGGGACUGAGACACGGCCCAGACUCCUACGGGAGGCAGCAGUGGGGAAUUUUGGACAAAGGGCGCAAGCCUGAUCCAGCAAUGCCGCGUGCGGGAAGAAGGCCUUCGGGUUGUAAACCGCUUUUGUACGGAACGAAAAGGCUCUGGCUAAUACCUGGGGCUGAUGACGGUGCCGUAAGAAUAAGCACCGGCUAACUACGUG
rnacentral:rRNA from 1 species